GGGCCCGUAGCUCAGCCAGGUAGAGCGGCGGACCACACUUGCCGUGGGCUGAAGCUCUUAACCCGUCGGUCGCGGGUUCGAAUCCCGCCGGGCCCGCCA
rnacentral:tRNA from 1 species